CCAAUUUUAGUGUUUGUAGUCGUUUUUAUGGUUUUUGGCAUAUUUUAGGGUCGUUUAUAUGGAUUUUGGCCAAUUUUAGUGUUUGUUGUAAUUUUUAUGGUUUUUGGCCUACUUUAGGUCGUUUAUAUGGUUUUUGGCCAAUUUUAGUGUUUGUAGUGGUUUUUAAUGUUUUUGGCCUAUUUUAGGGUCGUUUAUCUAGUUUUUUUUGCCACUUUUGGUGUUUGUAGUCGUGUUUAUGCUUUUUGGCCUAUUUUAAGU
rnacentral:lncRNA from 1 species